rnacentral:ncRNA from 2 species
GCUCAGCAUCAAGAGUCGGACCAAGUUCGACGCCAACCUGCUCCCGAGCAAGGUGGCGCCUCCGGUAACGGAGGGAUGUGGCCGGACCGGCAACCAACGGGAUCCCU